GACCUGGUCAAGAGAAGCCUGGCACCAGAUGCUUUUAUCAGUAGCGCACUUAUUGACAUGUACGCCAAAUCAAUGGUCAUCUCUGAUGCUAGGGAGGUUUUUAACAGAGUUGAACAUAAGGACUUGAUCACCUGGAAUGCGAUGAUUUCUGGGUCGGCACAAAAUGGUUAUUUGGAUGAAGUACUGAAACUACUUUACAGGAUGAGAGAAGAGAACAUCAAGCCAGAUAAUUUUACCUUUGCCAGUAUUUUUGCAGCAUGCACAAAUGCCAUGGCGAUGCAACAGGGAAGACAGGUCCAUGGUCUGGUCCUGAAAUCAGAACUUAAAACAGAUGCAGCUGUAGCCAAUUCACUUAUAACCAUGUAUUGCAGAGCAGGGAACAUAAGGGAAGCAAGAAAGGUUUUCUCUGAGCUUUCCGUCAAGAAUGUAAUAUCUUGGACAGCAAUGAUUGGAGGUUGUGUGCAGAGUGGUUAUUCGAGGGAGGCUCUUGAAAUCUUCGAGCAAAUGGAGAGAGCUGCAGUGAGACCAAAUGCCAAAACCUUCAUUGCGGUAUUGACAGCUUGCAGCUAUGCAGGUUUGAGAAGGGAAGCUGGAAAGUUCUUUAAGAUGAUGGAGACUAAAUAUGGGAUUAGACCUGGAUUUAAUCACUACUCUUGCAUGAUUGACAUUCUCGGGCGAGCAGGAAAAUUAAAGCAAGCAGAAAACUUGAUAGAAGGAAUGCCUUUCGAACCAGAUGCACUAGUAUGGAGAAUAUUGCUGAGUGCUUGCAGAAUUCAUGGUGAUGCUGAAAGAGGAAGGAGGGCCAUGGAAAAGAUACUGGCCCUUGAACCUGGUGAUUCUGCAGCUUAUGUGUUGCUCUCUAAUUUGUAUGCCUCCUUAGGCAACUGGGAUGGAGUUGAGGAAGUCCGACAAAUGAUGAGAGUUAAUGGGGUGAAGAAAGAGCCAGGAAAAAGUUGGAUUGAGCUAAAUGCUAAAGUCCAUGAGUUCAUGGCAGGUGAUUCUUUGCAUCCACAAAAAGAAGAAAUAUGUUUGAGGCUGAGAGAGUUGCUCAAACAGAUGAAGGAUGAAGGAUAUAUUCCUGGUAUAGAACAUGCUGUAAGAUAAGAGGUAAUUAUGGAAUCAUUCUGUUAGAAUUCUCAGCUAUACAGAAUCCCUUUGUAGCAGCAACAAAGAUGAUGAACCUGCAGGAGAUCUUGACUUCUCAGAAUUGAAGUUAAUGGGGUCAUGCAUUAGACUGACCACCCAAUAAUUCAUGUUUAAUUGAUCAAAGUUGUUUGAGAACCACAGAGAAACUUAUGAUGCACGUUAGAGUUACAUUAAAGACAAAAGAACCUCAAUUUUCAACUUGAGAUCUUGAGAAGGGGAAGAUCCAAAGAGAAGCCUGGCAGAAAACUUGUGACAAGUUGGGAAGUGCAAAGAGUCCUAGAAUUAAAACUAUUUCAAAUGUAUAGCAUAAAUUACUAAUUUAGUGAUCAAAAUAAUAUUGAUGAAAAACUAAUCAUUGUUUUUACAGAUUUUACCUUCAAAUAAUUGGUGGUUGUGGAGUUUUAUUGGUUGUACAUAUUUUUACAAAGACAACAAUUUUUUGUCAAUUUAUAUAAAAGACUCUCUAUCUUACAUGGAUCCUGAGGCUUAAGCUUUUAACUCAUGUUUCUGUGAUACAUGUAAAUUGCUAUAAUACAAGUUUCUAUCAUACAUGUUGGUUGCUAUAACUCAAGUCUUGCUUUAGCUUUUACUCAUUUUAUGCUCUAAGACAUUGAUCCAAACCUUGGAAACUAUCAUUUUUGCUAACUUAAGUACACUAGUUUUAGAAUUAUACUCUUGUGGAUGAUUCCAGUUCCUUCUUUUGUUCAAUAUUAUCCAUUUAAUAAUUCAAUCUCAUUAAUGGAAACUUUUGUUUCCACAAAAAAGGAAACAACAAAGACAUAUGAAUCAUGCAUAUCAAAUUGUUGCAUCAUGAAGUUGCAAUAACAUUCCAAGAGCAAUACAAGGAACCUAUGAAUCACAUCAUAUCAUUCUUCAAAAGAUAUGACUAAAUUAAAUUUAAAUCAUCUAGAAGUAUAAAUUAGUUUCCUGUUGAUUACAUAAGAGAGGACUCUCAGAAUUUACAAGUAAUUAAAGAUGAAAAAACUCCUAGUGAAGACCCAAAACAACAAAAGAAAAAGGCAUAUGAAGAGGAGAAAGAUUAAGAAAGUGUUGUUUACUUUUUUAUUUGGAUAAACUGCUAUUUAGAAAUUGUGCAGUUUCUUAUAACUGUUUACCUCAGAGGCUGCGCAGGAAGACUAUGGUGGUGCAGCCGACAGAAGUUGGUGGUGGCUGAGGGUGGUGCGGUGUGGGGGAGCAGUAUGAGACUGGCCGGUGGCCGGAGCCCCAGCAGCCGCCUGGUGGUGAAGCGGUGGCCACAAG
rnacentral:lncRNA from 1 species